GGCAGCUUGGCCGAGUGGUUAAGGCGACAGACUCGAAAUCUGUUGGGUUUUCCCGCGCAGGUUCAAAUCCUGCAGCUGUCG
rnacentral:tRNA from 1 species